UCAGAGAGUCCCUGGACAAAAUCCUGCAGAAUGAGAGCGGCAUAGCUCCAAACUGCAGAGAAGAAGAUUAUGUUAAACUUUAUGUGGACACUAUCCAGUGUAUUAAUGCCGUACCAAGAGAAGCACAAAAACUCCUUCCAGAACUGCACGAUGAAGUGCAAGAAAUUUGUUUCCGAGAGUUUCGAACAUUUGUCAAGAGGUACAGUGAAGAGCAGUAUGGGGAUCUUAAAAAAAGGGCACAAACUGACAACCCAGAAACAAUACACUUCCUCAAAACACUGAAAACAU